AUCACCAUGGAGGACCUGCGCCAGUCCCUCACCAAGCUCAAGGAGGCCAAGAUCCAGUGCGGGGCGCUGCCCCCUAGUAUGCGGAUAGAGCUGGACUAGAACUCGACUCGCACUGUACUUUGCUGGUUGCUGUCAACUGUCAAUAUUAGAUUAGACAUAGAGGCUUCUAAUUGUGAAGUUAACUUGAACGAAGUGAGUUAAUUUAACAGGUAUUUAUGUAGUUAUACUAAUACAAGCCAUAUUUUAAUGGUAGCGUUAUCUUCAUUAAAGAGAAUCGAGUUUAUAUCGCUUAUCGCCGUGGAUAAAACCAUCUUGAUUUGAUAACAUACUUCAUUUAUGUAUGAGUACAUUUUAUCAUCUUAAUCCAGUGAAAUAAAAUAGACGACCGCGACCAUGAUAUGUUUUUAUCCACAACGACAAGUGAUAGUCGUGUUGUGUGAGAAAUCAUGAGUUUAAUAUGACAAUGAUGGGAACUUGAAGGGAAUGUUAAUAUAAGUUGGUAAAUAUCUAUUGCCAUGACUUUUGCCAUGCGUAGUUGGCAGUAAAGCACAUUUAUAUAAUAAUAUGUGCUUCAAUGAGGUUCUUGUGAUUAGAAAAAGUUCCGAACAUAUAAUUUGUAGACAUGUAAUUAUAUCAUAAAACCAUUUUAUUGACUGUGUUUAAUACCCCAAAUACUGUCAUUUAAUUAAGGGCAAGUUUGAUUCUUUAAUCUAAUCGUCAUUUCAAUAUUUGGGAUUUAAAAACACUUCGAAAUAUGUUCAUAUUUGUGAGUAUUACUAUUAGUCCGUUAUAUUACCAAGGUUUUGUGAACUAAUAAAAAUAAAAGUCAGGUAAAAUAGUUCAUAUUACAAAAUAAAAGUGUCAUUUUGACAUCUUUUGUGUAAUUGAAAGCUGGUAUGUAUCAGUGAUAAUUAUGAAUAUUAUUAGUUCAUAAAAUAUACUUGGUAGCAUAGAUAUAACAGUGGCAUGGCGUCUGUUUAUAAGACUUUUUAGGCAUCAUCUAUUCAAAAUAUUUAUCAGUACGGUUUUUACUCACUAUUAUUUUUAGUCGCUUUUGGCGACAUGUUUCGGAUUCUUUGGGCAUCCAUCCUCAGGCACGAGUGUCCACGGCGGUUGUACGUCCAACCACGUGCAAAACCGUACUGAUAAAUAUUUUGAAAUAUGUCUCACGAUAGUUUAAGUGCGAGCAUCAUCUAUUCUUAAUACAAUCAAUAUUACCAUAUUCAUUUGAUUGCCUUUAGCAAUAUUGUGUAGUUAUUUGCCGAUUUUUGUGCUAUAAUAUUAAUAAGCCAAAACUAAGGUGUAGCUUUUUGCAAUGAUAAUUGUUAGGUCUUUGGUCGCCAUGCCAUUAUUCAUUGGAGUUUUAGUGAUUUAAAAAAGUUACCAGUAUCAACCGGAGAUAUUAUGUAGAUAAACAAAUAAGACACCCAUUUGCAUAAACUUUCAUAUAAAAAAAUAGGUCGUCGUCGAUAUGCGCUUCCCUAGGGCGUGUAAUCAAAAAAGAAAUCAAUAUAAAGAUUAGCACGCUUCUGGCGAGUUUCGGUAGCUCAGUUGGUUUAGAGCAAUCGGACCGGUGUUCCGACAGGUCGCAAUCUCUAGUCUUAUCAGAAGCGGCGAAUUUUCAGUUUUUUCUUUGAAUAGAAUAAUAAUAAUAAGGUAAUGUUAACGGCGAUAAAUCUUAUAAAAGUUUUUGCAACUGGGUUACCGUCACGCCGUUUGAUCCUAUUCUAGUUCAGUAUAGUUCAGUUCAGACUCUUCAGACUACUCAUUUACUUAGUUCAUUUGAGAGCAUUACUUAAAAAAAUCCCUCUUGGUAAAUUGUCGAAUACUCUAUGAAUUUCAUGUUAUUUCUACUCAAUCACGGGCUCUGUCGAUCCUAAUAGCAAAAAAUAAAGUCACAAUAUUUAUUUCCUCUUGUGUUACUAUAAUUUCAUACAGUUUCUAUGGCGAUAACACAUAGGAAAGCUUCAAAAUGUAUGAACAAUUUAGGCCUCUUUCUUCUGGGAUGGAAUAAUAAAGGUGGGUUUUUUUUUGAGAAAUGCUCUAUAUGGGGGUUUUUAGAAAAAAUGAUACCAUUUCCUUUUUUUUUCGACAAACCAUCUACUUUUAGGUUAUUUAGACUCAGAAUCACGAGUACUAUUGAAUGAGACAAAGAAAAAAGUAUUUCCAGUUUUUCAUACAAAUUUUGGCUGUCAGUUUUGUAACGGUCCAUACAAAAUGUAUGUGAAAAUGCGUUACAAAACUGACAGUUUUUUUGGGCACAUUAUUUUCUUUUAAAAUCGAUAGUCCUCGUGAUUCUGAGUACGAAAUAACCCAAAAGUUGAUGGAUUUACGAAAAAAAGUAAAUGGUACACUUUUAAGUGAAACUGCCCAUAUUCUCGUUUUGAUGAACAAUGUGCUAACAACUACAGAAUAAUAGUUUUGGCCGUAUCAGCUUAACUUUAAAGUAGAAAUUCGAUUGAAAGCUAAGUCUGCUUUUACACUUUUGUAUAUACGCUUCCAGCAAUAAUUUUAGAUGUUAGAUUAGUUUAGCUUCGAAUUUAAAUUAAAUCAAAGUUUUGUACUAAAAUGUACCCAACCUUAUCAUGUGUUACUUAGGUGCAUUUUGGCUUGAUAUUGAUAUGUGUUAACUUAUUGCUAACUUAAAGUUUUUAAAUAAGACAAUACUUUAGGAAUGGGCAUUUGAAUGUAUUUCUUUUCGUUAGAAUUUAGUACUUGUACUUUAAAAAAUAUAUGUAUCAAGUUUUUUUAUAUAAAAUUUUGAAAACUAUUAUGUAUCCAGAUACAAUGCAAAACAGUAUCUUUUAAUUAAAACUCAAUUCAACAAGCGAUCUAUACUGAAACACAUGAUUUACUCUUUUAACAUUUUAGGGUUCCAUAAUCACCCUAAAAUGUUAAAAAAGUCAUAUGUGUUUCAGUUUAGAUUUUUCCAUAGCCAAAUUGAAAAAACGGACCUUUAUUAGAUUCCAACAUAACAAGAAAAUAGUUAUUUGUUAUACAAGGGUGCAAAGUUGUAUUUUACCCGCGAGUGUUUCAACACACGAGAAGUAAAAUACAUUUGCACCCGUGUGUAACACAAAACUUUUCCCCUCACUAUAGCGAGGAAAGUGCAACAUCCACAGGCGUUAGAUCAUCUUCAUCACUGGAAUCACAAUUUUUUUUACGAUAUUAUAACAGAAAACACUAGAAAUUCUGAUUUUUACGUGAGUCGGUGAGAAGAACAGUAAAAAUUAUGUUGACAAUGUUGACAUUUCUGUUCUGACGUAUGAAAUGUCAACGAUGCGUUUUGGAAUUGCAUCGACUCAACUUGUGCGUUCCGAAUUAUAUUUAACAUCAUUACAAAAAAUCUAACGUUUCUUAUGGAGUUUUAAGGUUUAUGACUUAAAAUUAUUAAAUUUGGAAGUUUUUAUUAGAUUCUCAAACCAUUUAUUUAAUGAUAAUUAAUAUCGAACGAACCAUUAUCAUGAGCGUUUUACGUUUUGUUAUCUGUCAAGCUACUUAAACACGCUCCAUCCAAGGUCAAAUUACUUUCCCCACUAGUGGAUAAAACGCGUUUUUCCCCGCUUGUAUUGAAGGAUAAAAGACAACUUUCCGAGCUAGUGAGGGUAAAAUAUAUUUACUGGGUAAUAAAAUGCAUUAUAUUUUAAAAUAUUAAUGGAUAUAUCGACCCAACUAUUUAUAAAACAGUUUAUAAUAAUAAAUAUCAACUAAAGUGACCUGACAAAUUGAAAAUAUAAAUCGUUAAAUUAUUACAAGUUAAAUUUGAAGAAUUUUUACCAAAAUUAAAGUGUUACGCUGAGUUCUAUUGUAUAUAAGCUUUGUUGUGGGUAUAUUUCGAUUGAAAUUGUAAAAAUACGCUUGAAAUUUUGGUUACGCUGCAGGCAGUGUUUUUCUAAUUAUUUGUAUAAGUGAGAAUUUAGAGUUGUUACAUUUGUUACCAAACCAGCGCUUGAAUUUAUUAAUUAUAAUAUUGAUGGGAUCCUUUUUUUAGCGUUUGCCAAUGUCGCCAUAAAUUUAAAUUGAAAAUGUAAAGGCGCGUGAAUUUACUAACUUGUCUAUGAUGGUUUUUUAACAUUUCAAGUAAAGCAAUGUCUUGCAAAUUAUGGAGGACAGUUUAAAAACUUACGCAGACAAAGUCGCGGGCAAAGAGUGUAUAUUUAGUACUGCAGAUGAAAAUCCAUUUUAUGCCAAAAAUGCCUUACAUCAUUUUGGAAAAUAACUGAUACUUUUUUUAUUUUAUUUUUAUUACUGACUAAGUCCCACGGUAAGCCCAAGGAGGCUUGUGUUAUGGGUACUCAGACAACAAAUAUCUGUGCUCAUCACACAAAUAAAUGCCCUUACCGGGAUUCGAACCCAGGACCAUCGGCUUCACAGGCAGGGUCACUACCCACUAGGCCAGACCGGUCGUCCUUUUUUAAACUGCUGGAUCGAUUUUUAUCAAACAUAUCUGAGAACCGCCGCAUGGAUACUCGCUUUCGCGUAAAAAAACCCAUCGAAAUCGGUCCAUCCGUUUGAGAGCUAACGAUGCCGCAUACAUUGGAGUCAAACAUGUAAAACCUCUCUUUUUGCGUCUACGGUUAAGGCCGUUCCAUCAGUUUGCCGCUGUCUUUGUCACAUUUCGCAAGAAAGAACGGGAAAGAACAUACGCGCCAUGUGUCAAUUUUGAUCGAAUUUUGUCGGUUUUUAUUUAUUUUAAAAACGUUACCUUACAAUAUCGAAAUUCUAAAGCUAUGAAAUUACUAUUUACGUUAAGAUUGUUUUUUCUUCUUUUUUUGUUUAUAGUAUCACAUAAUAAAUAACCGAGUAAAGUAGGAUUAAAAGUCCGAGUUAGAGGUUACUUUGGGAAUUAAUUGUAUCGAGCGAAGUGUCAUAAUUCGUGUAUCGGAAGCUAUGUUGUUAAAGAUAAUAUAGUCAAGAACUACAUAUAUUUUUUUCACGUCUACGAAUAUCAACGCCUCUUAGAAAAACAUGAUCAUAUAAGGAGAUUUUUCGCCUUCUGGCUCAGGGAACCGCCUUAAAACGAUAAGAUUCAUACAAUCGUUUGUAUAGCUUUCUUGUAUAUUGUGUGCAUUUUAUUUAUACUUUUGUAGUGAAAUACAAUAUUAAGAUUUUUAUAAAUAACUUCAGGUUAGGUCUAUUCAGCUAAUUCCGAAAAUGAAUUCUAAUAUGAGUAAUUUUCGAAAUUAUCCGAAAUAAUGAAGUAUUCGGAAUUACCCGAAUGUGGUCUUAAAGUCGCAAUAUUUCAUAGGAGUGAAGGCCCUGCUUUAAAUGGUUUAAAAGCAUAAGUAAUUAAAAUUAAUGAGUUUCACAAUUUUGUGUGUUAAUCCUUAAUCCGUUUGUUCAUUUAUAUAUGAAAUGUUUUUAUCAAUUUUCCUGUUAGACUAAGAAUGCCGUACGUUUGUAAAAUAAAAGGUUUUGUGAGUUAGAUUCAAGGUUUUUUUUUUUUUUUUCAAAUAUGAACGCAAUUCUGAAACAUGAAACAAUAAUAUCACUUACUCAAAAUUUCACCGAAAUCUCAAUUAUAUGUUGCUCAAUAAAAGCAUUCCUUUGCUUUUUAUUCGUAUUUUAAUCGUAAACUACUUGUGAUUGGGUAUUUUUAAUAAUUUGUUUUUAGCGUAAUUUGAACAGCCCCAAUCUACUAUACUAAAUGUGUUAAAACUAAAUUAUUGUGUCAAACACAAAUAUCAUGACGAGCGAUAUAAUUGUUAAACGUGAAAUUUCUGUAAUUGUUUAUUUGCAAACUUACAUGUUAUGAAAGGCUAUGUGUGCGACUGCAGCGCCCGCCUGGUGUCUAUUUCACAUUUCUGCCACGCUGUGCGUUUGCCAAAGCUUUCACACUCAAAGCCAAUAGGAGAAAGGUGUAGGAUAAAUUAAAAUAGUGUAAAAUAUUGACCACUUCUCAAACAUAAUGUAGUGAAAUGACAAUCUUUGUUAUCGUUGAUUUGUGCGCAAAUAUUUAUUGUGUAAAUAAAGACAAUUAUGAUUGGAAAA